GAAAGAGAAACCUCCGCGGCCCGGCCUCGCUUUUAUAGCAACGCCGCUGCCUGGUUACGUCAGCGCGCACGCCGCCAGCCUGCACCAAUCAGAAGAGGUGGUGCCGAGCGGAAAAGCACUCGGAGAGGACAGCCUCUCCGACGUGAGACUCUGCAGAAGUGUCUUUCCACUCUGGCCUUUCCCACAUCUGGUUUCCCUCUGGCUGGUGCCCUGAGCCACUCUCCAUCCACCCGCGGGAGAGGCACCACCCCCUGGGGCUGGUCACCCCCGUCCCUUCUCACCCGGCUUCCUGCCUUUGCCCUGACGCUGGCGACGGACGAGGAGGACGACGAGGAGGCAGAGCAGCAGGACGAAGGCCCCCGCAGCCCCGAUGAGGACGUACAGGUACCGGUUGGGACCUUGGGCAGAGCCACACCGUGAAGGAGCCAGUGAUGCCAUUUAACUGGGCGCCUGCUGUGUGCCAGGCACGUGCUGGGCUCUGGGCAUUCACCUCUGACCCUGUCAAGGGUCACGCAGCAGGGGACUGCCGCCCCACCCCCAUCCCCCCACUCCACAGACAGGAAAGUGAGGCACAGGGAGGCUGAUCAUGUGUCCCAGGUGGCCCAGAGUGGAGGCAGCAGGGCUGGGACUGGAACCCGGGCUGUGGGUUCCCUGCGCUCUCCUCAUGCUGCCCCCCCCAGGCUGACACCAGCUUGGGGCUCUGGGCUCCUUAUCUGCAGGCGGGUCUGUCCCAGCGUCUUCGUCUGGGGCCGAGGGUCCUUCCAGAUUCCCCUCACUACCUGAAGGCCCCCAGCCAUUGUCCUCCCGCCCCUCCCCCUCCAGGGUCAUGUCACUGCUGCAGAGGGCCAGGUCCCCAUAGAAUCCCGACCCGGAGGGGCUUCCCCGUGAGCCCUCCUCUCCCCCCGGAGGGGGCCGGAGCCACGGCCAGAACUGAGGGGAAAUCUAAUCUGGGCCAUGACUCUCUCCUUUACACCUGGGGAAACUGAGGCCCAGGCAGGGGAGGGCGGGUCCAAGCCAGUGUCUCCAGAGGUGCCUGAACUGAUGGUGUAACCAACCCCUGCUCCCAUGGACCCACCCGCCUCCUCCUGACAGAGACCUUCACUUGCCCGCAGAGGCUCCUGGUGUCGGGGAGGGUGGGGGGUGGGCAGAGGGGGCUGCCUCUUCCCCAGCUGGGCCCCCACCCUCUCCCUCUGCCAUGACCACCCCAGCCCUCCUCCCCCUGGCCUCAGAGCCCCUGGAGCCUGGUGGCCGCCCUGGCAUCUCUGAAACAUGGGAAGGAAAGCCCUGGACAGAAGCCACUGUGACUCACCAGCUGUUGAGCUGGGAUCUGUGGCUGGGGGGGCGGACUCUCCAGAGGAUCCUGGGGGGAAAGACAGUAGUAGAGGAGGGGGCUGGAGUUUCCCUUCAAGACCCUGUCUCUGCUUAACAGUCUUCUCCCUCUGCCCUGCGGCCCCCAGGGCCCUCCUCCUCCACCUGGAGCAUUGUGGUGACGGGGACAAGGAAAGGGGCAGGGAGGGAGGGGCGUGUUUCCCUCCUGUGCUCUGAGGGGCGGACCCCUCGGGUGACACUUCCCCUGAGCCCCUUCCAUUAUGUCUCAGCCCAGGGCUCUCUUGGGCACAGGGCCCUGAAGACAACAUUGGGACACAGAGGGGACAGGGCUGGGGCCCCUCACCUGAGAUCUGGAGCUCCAGGGGGUCACUGGGGUGUGACAACAGGUAGGGGAAGUUGCUGUAUGAGCCGUAGCACCUGUAGGUCCCCCCCUGGGCUGAGGUCACAGGACUCAUGGAGAAUUUGGCCUGGUAAUGUCCAGCUCGGUACUUUGAUCUAAGACGCAGGGGAGGGUCGGCUGCCCCCUCCUUGGACAGAAAGAAAGUGUCCACAAAGCUCCAGGACUGACACAGCAGGGUCACAUUCUCUCCUGAGGCCACCGUGGGUCCUGGCUGCACUGAGAGGGAGGGUGUGUAGGAGAGCUGUCCUAGAGAGAGGAAGGCAGGUGAGGGGCUGUCCAUCCUUGCUCUGAACUGAGUCUGCCUGUCUGUCCUCUGAGUCUCUCUCCUUCCCCGUCCCGUCUGUCUCUCUGUCUCUCUCCCUCCCUGGGGACCCCACACCCCUGACCCCAGCCACCACCACCUGGGACACCCCCAGUAGGGCCUGUGCAGAGUCGGGGGUCUGACUGAACCCGUGUCCCCUCACCUGUGACCAGGAUGUCCAGGGGGUCACUGGGGGCCGACCACUCGGAGGAGAGGUUGUGUCCACCAUAGCACGUGUACCGGCCCCCAUGGGAGCCGCUCACUGGGCCCAGGGGGAAGUCGGCCCCCGAGAGCCCAGCCUGGGGCUGCCGGCUAAGGUGCUGGGGAAGGUCACGUGCCGCCUCCUUGUAUAGAGCGAAUCUGUCAUAGCCGACGUCAGAGCGACACUGGAGGGUCAGCCUCUGUCCAGGGGUCACGACAGGGCUCUGCUGGGUCAGGAGGGAAGGCUUCCUGGACAUACCUGGGAGACAAGCAGUCGUGGAUUGAGGAGCAGAUUCUCCCCAAACCUCUCUUCUCCUGUCCUGACCCCCAGGUCUCAGUGUCUCUCACAUUCUGUGUCUCUGACCUGUGAGAUCCCGUGUCCCCCUCACCCCACCCUCUGAUCUGGGGCUCCCCUGGGAGCAGAGCCUCCAUAACCUGUCUGGUGGUCAAAACACGGAUGCAACAAAAAUCAGACUCCCUCACCUGAGACCAGGAGCUCCAGGGGGUCACUGGAGAGUGACCACGUGUGGGGGGUGUUGCUGUAAUAGCCAUAGCAUCUGAAGGUCCACCUGAGCCUGGGGGUCACAGGGCCCACAGGAAACAGGGCCUGGAACUGCCCACUGGUGUGUCGCUGGGAGUCGAGGGUCCAGGCAGGUCUGGGUUCUCCUUCCCUCAUCAGGACGAACCUAUGGAAUCCCAUCCAUGAGGUGCACUGGAGGGUCACCUUCCUUCCUGAGGUCACGACGGGUCUGGGCAGGGCUGAGAGAUGGGGUUUGCUAUGGAAUCCUAGGAGAGGGGGAGGGGGCGUGUUAAAUGGGGCUCAGAUUCCACCCCCCACAACACCCCCAGGGCUGGACUGUGAGGGGAGACAUGCUGGGAGGAGACCCCCUCCCUGAGGGCAGAGCCUGGGGCGGGGACCCUGAGGGGGCUCGCACCUGUCACCACCAGCUCCAGGGGGUCACUGCGCUCUGACAAGCCAGUGGGGCUUCGAUAGGAACAGUGAUACCGUCCUGCAUGUCUAUCUGUCAUGUAUGUGAUGGAGAACUUGGCCUUGUUCCCAGGCUCUAGUGUGGGCUGUCUGUCCAGGUACACUGAGCCUUCGUCUUUAUACACAUGGAGCUUCUGGGCCUCCAGGGUCCCCUGACACCAAAUGGUCACAGCGCUACCCCAGGGGACCACAGAGCCUGGCUCAGCCCAGAUGGAGGGUGUGGGGAGGGUCCCUGGAAGGAAACAGAGGCUGUAUCACAAGACCUUCCCCACCCUCAGAUCUUAGCUCAGCCCCAAACCCCCAGACGUCCCCUCUCCAUCCGCCCAGAACUGCUGUCCUCCAUUCCCAGCUGCCUGGUGGGUGACCCCCGUCCCUAGUGAGGAGGUGGGAUGGGACACCUGGGGACACACUCACCUGCCUGCACUUGGGUCCUGGGUUCCACACUCAGACCUGGAAGAGAGUCCCUGUGAGAGGAUGGCCCCGAGUCCUGAGCAAUACCCCUCCUCCCGAUGACCCUCCUGUGCCUGAGGUCUUUGACUGCCCAGGGCCUGGUUGUGGGGUGGGUCCCUCCCAGACUAGGGCAUCCUCUCCCCUCCUGAGAUCUCACCGAGGAGGAGCAGGGCCGUGAAGGUGGGGGUCAUGGCGUCUCUGCUUCUGGCCCCGGCUGUGCAGAGGGAGGGACCUUCGUGCUUGGAGGACAGACAGAAGCACAGGGUGUGGCCACUUGGGGGCUGGCCUGCCUGGUCAUGGGGUUGUCACGUCAGCAGCCCCACAGGAAGGGGAACAGCCUGUUUCCAGGGGCCCAACUCUGGUGUCCAUGAUGGUGCAGCAAGUGGACCCAAGGCUUCCUGAGAUGUCCCAUCCAGUCUCAAGGUACUCUCAAGUUGGGAGAAGUGUGAAGGUUAAUACAGAGAAACCCCACAAAAAAAGGAUCGUGAAGCCAGAAGGGGGAGCUUGCUCGCUACACCUCUUGGUCAAGAAUCACCAAUCGCUGACCCCACAGAGGAAUCAUCAACAGUACAGGAUCCUCAAAUACAGGCCCCAACAGAGAAUGCUGGGAGGAGGCAAGAGCAGGUGGAAGAAGCCUUCGCUCACACUGGAGAAUUCCUUUCAACAUUCCUGUCCUGAAAUGAGUCUGCUUUUUGGAGUCCUGUGUAAACAGUGGUGGCAUCAUCCUACUUCCCUCAUUCACAAUGAGGAAAGGAGUGUGGGAUGGAAGUUGUGCAGACUGUGUCUCAGCUGGCUCCCCCCACCAGCAGGAAAUCCCAAGCCGCAUGCGAAGCCUGUGACUUCACUUGCUCCCCCCACCGGCAGGAAAUCCCAAGGACGCAUGCGCAGCCUGUGACGUCGCUUGCUCCCCCCACCAGCAGGAAAUCACAAAGAGGCAUGUGCAGUGUGUUGCAUCGCGGCCAGCCAGCUUUGCAGGCCUCAUGGCAGUGCAUGCAUUGAACAGCUAACUGGGCCGGCCGAGUUCAGCUUCACUGUGACGAUGAGCUCAAGGAGGAAAACGGGGGAAUAUGGUGAGAAAACAUGACUCUUCUCCUGGUCCCUGAUUGUGGGUUUUCUCCCUGCCAAGAGCCCUCAUCAUGGAUUUCCCUUUUCUUGCAACAGCGCCCACACAUCUUGCUAGAAACGUAGCCCCCUGGUGCCCCUUGUUUCUGUUCGCAGGUAUCCCCGCAUUGCUCUGGUCCUGCCUUCAGCUUCGGACUCAGUCGGUUGGGUUUGUGCUCUGAAUAUGAAGGGAAAACUGACCUUUGUGUAAAGAUUCAACUAUCAAAAAAAAAAAAAAAAAAAGAUUCAACUAUCAUCUAGUGACUGUGUGACUUUGAGAAAUAUCAUCCAGUCUCUGAGCCCGAGUUUCCUCCUUGGGAGAGGUUUGUCAUGAACCCUAGUGUUCAGAGCAGGUGUGGGGCCCGUGCUGUCAUGUUCAUGGGGUGGCUCAGUCAUCACUAAUUUCAGGCCAGAUGAAGAGUCUUGGAAGAGGUGCAUGAGAGGAUGCGUUGUCUGACUCCACUGUCUAGGUAGACAAUGGAUGGGCUCACUCAAGAGCCCUGGUUCGUUCCUAACACCGAGAGAUGCUAUUUAUCAUAUUUCUGAAAAAUGUAGGCACAGCCAAGUGCAGAAGAGGAGAAAAGAAAGUUCCCAAAUUGAGGAACCUCAACAGAUACAAGAGGUCAAAGCUGAGUGGCCACCGGUGUCUGGGACCAACAAGGGGUCAUCAGUGUGGAUGUUUCCCCUCUGUGUGGACAUGAGAGGAACCCCAGGUCUUCACAGGCAAGGAUGGGAUCAGAUCUCUGGUGAGUUUGGAGGCUGUGUUGCUCCCUUCUCCAUUUUUGUGGUUGGGCACUGGGAUAUUUUUGCCAACAGAACCAGCCGUGGUCAGCACUGAGCCAUGGCCCCAUGUAUGCAGAAGAGAAUUCACUGUAGUGCAGGAAGACGUGGACCUCUGUGAGUGUGAGCCCUACAUUAGACCCAACUAUACGUGCAAGACACAACUAUGUGUGGACACUAAGUUUGUGGGAGUGGAUGUCACAGGGCAAAACAACUGCAGGCAUCCCUGCCUAAUCAUGAAUGACUCCCAGUGCAGCUGUAGGAGGAAACCUUUGUGGAAAAUAAGGUGUGUGGAAAUUCAGCCCUCCCAACAGGAGUAUACUGCAAAGAGGAGUCCUGAUAAGAAGAAACAGUGCUACAAAGUCAAUCUUAAUGCUCAUUGAGAAUUCUGCUAAUAUAUCUAUGGACAUACGGUGCCAGGAAUAUGUAGACUUAUCUUAAAUUAGGUAUGUGUUUCAUAUCAUAAAGAUGAUGGAGGAACUUGAAUUUUAAAGAAAAGUCUUUAUUUUUGAGAGAGAGAGAACAGGAAAGAGUGGGGGAUGGGCAGAGAGAGGGGGACAGAGAAUCGGAAGUGGGCUGUGGGCUGACAGCAGUGAACCAAGUGCGGGGCUCAGAUUCACAAACCACGAGCUCAUGACCAGAGCCUAAGUGGAACGCUCAACCUAUUGUGCCACCCAGGUGCCCCCGGAACUUGCAUUUUUGAGAAAAGAAUAUGAUUGAUACUUGAAGAGGCAAUGAUAGAAAUGAGUUAGAAAUUUUAAUGGUGAAGAAUCCAGUUGAAUGAAUAUGUUCUAAGCUUUCAUUCUGUCAAGGGGAAGACCUGUCUGAAGAGUUUGUCAGGAAGCUGGAACACAAUAUUGAGGAAACUUUCCAGACUGCGGAAUAGGCCAGAAAUGGAGAUUUCAGGUACUUGGGAGUAGAAUGAGGAGGGCCAAGGUCACAUCUACUGUGUCAGGAAGAAAGGACAGAGAAUGCUGUCUCCCAACUGCCCAAGAAGCAAGUAAUUUGAGUGUUUUCCAAAGAUGAGGAAAGACCAUUUAAAUGGUAGUGGAUGCACAUUUAAAAAUAAAACCCGUAUGUUGACACUUCAUAGUAAAAUGAAGAAAUCCAGGGUAAAUUAGAUUUUAAAAAUCGUACAUUGAAUUGUACCUGUAAAAAUGGUUAAUGUUAUUCUUUGUGAAUUUCACCUCAAUUGAAAAAUAUGCAACAGAGGCUCGUUGGGUCUGCAGAAACGUCCUAAAAUUACUUCCUGGGGAAAGUGCAAAGGCCACCUCCAGGCUACAUUUCCCAAAGGUAAAAAUGGGUGCCAGAAGCUACUGACAAAUAUCCCCAAGGAAUGAAGUGUUGGUAGGGAAUUGUAUACUGAGCCAAAUUACUACUGAGGCCAAUAGUGAAAGCAUCUGCAGAGACAAAUUCGUAAAUUCUGUGGAAUCAUGUCACCCCAUCUGCCCUGUUAGGACUCAUGUCCCACAUGUUAAAGUCACCAGGUCAGGGUGUGCCUUCAAGAGAGAUGAGGAGGGGUUGUGGGUUCUUUCCUCAACCACCAGAUUGAUUUCCCCUCCAAGCAUGUGCAUUUUGUCCUCUCCUUGAAAAGAAAAAAAAUUAUGAAGUAUCUGGAUAAAAGAGAGAACACUAUCUGCCAAAGGAAAUCUUUGUGGUGGCUUCCAAAGUCUCCCAUACUAUCCAAUCUUUCCCCAACCUCAUAUAAUUAAAAAGUUUAUAAGUGUAAUGCCUAUUUUGAAAGCUUGUUUGUACUAAUAGAAAGUCAUUUCUUUAAAAUCUUGUUGGCCAUUUUGUUCUGGUAUUUAGAUAGAAUUUAAGGUACUACUGAAAUAUGGUUAUAAAAAAUAAAAUAAGGCAUUUCAGAGCUGCAAA